rnacentral:rRNA from 1 species
AGAGUUUGAUCCUGGCUCAGGAUGAACGCUGGCGGCGUGCUUAACACAUGCAAGUCGAACGGUGAAGCCCAGCUUGCUGGGUGGAUCAGUGGCGAACGGGUGAGUAACACGUGAGCAAUCUGCCCCUGACUCUGGGAUAAGCGCUGGAAACGGCGUCUAAUACUGGAUAUGAACCGUGGAGGCAUCUUCAACGGUUGGAAAGAUUUUUUGGUCAGGGAUGAGCUCGCGGCCUAUCAGCUUGUUGGUGAGGUAAUGGCUCACCAAGGCGUCGACGGGUAGCCGGCCUGAGAGGGUGACCGGCCACACUGGGACUG